GGGAAAUGAGGAUUGGGUGUGAACUUGCUUAUAAUGCAUGAUGGAUGUUUGCCCAAAACUUUUGUUACGACUAAUAGAACAUCCGUGGCAUUAUCUGAUCCC